rnacentral:sRNA from 1 species
UGCACUAGCCCGUUUAGUUUUCUUUUCUUCAUGACCACACUUGUGUAAAUAGCUCCUGAAUGAAAUCUUCCUUGGAUUAUCAAAUGUGAGUCUGCCAUUGAUUCCCAUUGAGACCCUCCUUGAUACAGGAGCUCUCAAGAAUUUAGGCCAAUUUAUCCUUCUACAGCAUUGGGUUCUGAUCUUCACGUUGAAGUGAAGGGUUAUGAGAAUGGAGGGAUCCAUCUGGAGUGCAGGUCCACUGGCUGGUACCCCCAACCCCAAAUAAAGUGGAGUGAUGCCAAGGGAGAGAACAUCCCGGCUGUGGAAGCACCUGUGGUUGCAGACGGAGUGGGCCUGUAUGCAGUAGCAGCAUCUGUGAUCAUGAGAGGCGGCUCUGGUGGGGGUGUAUCCUGCAUCAUCAGAAAUUCCCUCCUAGGCCUGGAAAAGACAGCCAGCAUUUCCAUCGCAGACCCCUUCUUCACGAGCGCCCAGCCCUGGAUCGCGGCCCUGGCAGGAACCCUGCCUAUCUCGUUGCUGCUCCUCGCAGGAGCCAGUUACUUCUUGUGGAGACAACAGAAGGAAAAAAUUGCUCUGUCCAGGGAGACAGAAAGAGAGCGAGAGCUGAAAGAAAUGGGAUAUGCUGCAACAAAGCAGGAAAUAAGCCUAAGAGAGAAGCUCCAGGAGGAACUCAAGUGGAGAAAAAUCCGGUACAUGGCUCGCGGAGAGAAGUCUUUGGCCUAUCAUGAAUGGAAAAUGGCCCUCUUCAAGCCUGCAGAUGUGAUUCUGGAUCCAGACACGGCAAACGCCAUCCUCCUUGUUUCUGAGGACCAGAGAAGUGUGCAGCGUGCUGAAGAGCCACGGGAUCUGCCAGACAACCCUGAGAGAUUUGAAUGGCGUUACUGUGUCCUUGGCUGUGAAAACUUCACAUCAGGGAGACAUUACUGGGAGGUGGAAGUGGGGGACAGAAAAGAGUGGCAUAUUGGGGUAUGUAGUAAGAACGUGGAGAGGAAAAAAGGUUGGGUCAAAAUGACACCGGAGAAUGGAUACUGGACUAUGGGCCUGACUGAUGGGAAUAAGUAUCGGGCUCUCACUGAGCCCAGAACCAACCUGAAACUUCCUGAGCCCCCUAGGAAAGUGGGGAUCUUCCUGGACUAUGAGACUGGAGAGAUCUCGUUCUACAAUGCCAUGGAUGGAUCUCAUAUCUACACCUUUCCGCACACCUCUUUCUCUGAGCCUGUAUAUCCUGUUUUCAGAAUUUU